AGAGUUUGAUCCUGGCUCAGAAGGAACACUAGCUAUAUACUUAACACAUGCAAGUCGAACGUUGUUUUCGGGGAGUUGGGCAGAAGGAAAAGAGGCUCCUAGCUAAAGGUAGCUUGUCUCGCCCAGGAGGUGGGAACAGUUGAGAACAAAGUGUGAACAGGUGCGUAACGAGUGGGAAUUUGUCGAACAGUUCAGGCCAAAUCUUGAAGAAAGCUAAAAAAUGUUAUUUGAUGAGCCUGCAUAGUAUUAGGUAGUUCGUCAGGUAAAGGCUGACCAAGCUAAUGAUGCUUAGCUAGUCUUUUCGGAUGAUCAGCCACAAUGGGACUGAGACGCGGCCCGGACUCCAAUGGGGGGCAGCAGUGGGGAAUCUUGGACAAUGGGCAAAAGACCGAUCCAGUAAUAUCGAGGAAGAAGCCCCGACUAACUCCGUGCUAGCAGCCACGGUAAGACGGGGGGGGGGGGGGGGGNNNNNNGGGGGGGGGGGGGGGGGGAGUUGUUCUUCAAAAUUACUAGGCGUAAAGGGCAUGUAGGCGGCGAAUCGGGUGAAUCGGGUUGAAAGUGAAAGUCGUAAAAAAAUGGUGGAAUGCUCUCGAAACCAAUUCACUUGAGUGAGGCAGAGGAUAGUGGAAUUUCGUGAUCUACGAAGGAAUGCCAAAAGUGAAGGCAGCUCUAUGGGUCCUUAUCGACGUUGGGGUGCGAAAGCAUGGGGAGCUAACGGGAUUAGAUACCUUGGUAGUCCAUGCUGUAAACGAUGAGUGUUCGCCCUUGGUCUACAAGGAUCAGGUGCCCAGCUAACGCGUGAAACACGCCGCCUGGGGAGUACGGUCGCAAGACCGAAACUCAAAGGAAUUGACGGGGGCCUGCACAAGCUUUGGAGCAUGUGGUUUAAUUUGAUACAACGUGCAAAACAUUACCAGCCCUUGACAUGUGAACAACAAAACCUGUCCCUAACGGGAUGGUACUGACUUUCAUACAAGUGUUGUAUGGAUGUCGUCAGCUCGUGUCGUGAGAUGUUUGGUCAAGUCCUAUAACGAGCGAAACCCUCAUUUUGUGUUGCUGAGACAUGCUCCUAAGGUGAAAGUCUUUGCAACCGAAGUGAGUUGAGGAGUCGAGUUACGUGCCAGCGCUACUAAUUGAGUGCCAACACGUAACUGUGCUGUCAGUAAGAAGGGUGGCGGCGCCUUUCGAACGAAGCACUUUCUAGUGUGCACUUUAGUUUGAUUGCAGCUAGUGUGCUUUACUAAAUAGAAAUGGCUUUUCUCGCUUGUUUAGUUCAAGGUUUUGGCCUUAUCUUGCAGGUGACAAUGACGUCGAGUUGGAAGCGGAGAAAGACUCGGCAUUCAGGCGAGCCGCCCGGUGGUGUGGUACGUAGUAGGUUUAGUACGCCCUGCCAAAACGGCUCUGAAAUAAACAGAAAGGUGCGUGCCGCACUCACGAGGGACUGCUAGUGAUAUACUGGAGGACGAUGGGGAUGACGUCAAGUCCGCAUGGCCCUUAUGGGCAGGGCCAUGCACGUGGUACAAUGGCAAUUACAAUGGGAAGCAAGGUUGUAAGGCGGAGCGAUCCGGAAAGAUUGCCUCAGUUCAGAUUGUUCUCUGCAAUUCAGGAACAUGAAGUUGGAAUCGCUAGUAAUCGCGGAUCAGCAUGUCGUGGUGAAUAUGUACCCGGGUCCUUUAUGCACCGCUCGUCACACCUUGGGAAUUGGUUUCGCCUGAAGCAUCGGACCAAUGAUCACCCAUGACUUCUGUGUAACACACGUGCCACGAAGGCUUUUGGUGGUCUUAUUGGCGCAUACCACAGUGGGGUCUUCGAAUGGGGUGAAGUCAUAACAAGGUAGCCGUAGGGGAACCUGUGGCUG
rnacentral:ncRNA from 1 species